CUGGCGUCCACACGUACUGCUCGAAAACCGCAAUGGCUCAGGGCGCCUCCCUCGGCUACAUCGGCGUCGGGAAUGGCCAGUACUACAAGUUCGUGACGGGAGGCGGGAAUUCGUGGCAGGAAUCGGUGACUGAAUGUGACCUGAUCUUCGGUUCGCUCUUCGCGCCGACGUCCUUCGCGGAGUUCGAGGCCGUGCGAGCCCACCGGGAGCAGAACGGCCCCGGGGG